ensembl:misc_RNA Metazoa_SRP Metazoan signal recognition particle RNA
GCCAGGCGCGGUGGCGCAUGCCUGUAGUCCCAGCUACUCGGGAGGCUGAGGUGGGAGUAUCACUUGAGCCCAGGAGUUCUGGGCUGUAGUGCGCUAUGCCAAUCGGGUGUCCACACUAAGUUCGGCAUCAAUAUGGUGACCUCCCGGGAGUGGGGACCACCAGGUUGCCUAAGGAGGGAUGAACUGGCCCAGGUCGUGCUGAUCAGUAGUGGGAUCCAGCCUGUGAAUAGCGCCUGCACUCCAGCCUGGGCAAUAUAGUCAGACCCUGUCUCUA